CUUUCGGUGAUCUAAAAUCUCUUCAAUACCUGGACUUGUCCAAUAACAGCCUGUCUGGUCCAAUACCUGAUUUUCUGGCACAAAUGCCAUCACUUAAAUUCCUUGAUUUGUCAAGCAACAAACUCAGUGGAUCAAUUCCUGCAGCUCUAGUACGAAAGCGUCAAAAUGGAUCCCUUGUAUUAA